AUUGAACGCUGGCGGCAUGCUUUACACAUGCAAGUCGAACGGUAACAGGUCUUCGGAUGCUGACGAGUGGCGAACGGGUGAGUAAUGCAUCGGAACGUGCCCAGUCGUGGGGGAUAACGCAGCGAAAGCUGCGCUAAUACCGCAUACGAUCUAUGGAUGAAAGCGGGGGACCGUAAGGCCUCGCGCGAUUGGGGCGGCCGAUGUCAGAUUAGGUAGUUGGGGGGGUAAAGGCCCACCAAGCCAACGAUCUGUAGCUGGCAUGAGAGGACGACCAGCCACACUGGGACUGAGACACGGCCCAGACUCCUACGGGAGGCAGCAGUGGGGAAUUUUGGACAAUGGGCGCAAGCCUGAUCCAGCAAUGCCGCGUGCAGGAAGAAGGCCUUCGGGUUGUAAACUGCUUUUGUACGGAACGAAACGGCUCUCUCUAAUACAGAGGGCUAAUGACGGUACCGUAAGAAUAAGCACCGGCUAACUACGUGCCAGCCGCCGCCGUAA
rnacentral:rRNA from 1 species